GGCUUUUCUACAGAAGGCAGCUCCCGCUGGGCACGGUCCAGGCACCGGGCAACGGAGACGCCCCGACCACGGGCGAAGUGGGCACGGGGGAGCGGCUAGCUUGGGAGGAGGGCAGAGGAGCCGAGUGGAGACAGCAGGAAUGUCUUUUGGAUCUAGGCCUGCUUGGCUCCAAAGCUGGUGGGAGGAACCAACAGACCCAAGGGCCUUGCACAGAAGCAGAAUUUCCCUAAUCCCCCGGCCUGAGAAGGUCAGGAGCUGGGAAUCCUGAGAACAAAAAGGGAGUUGGAAGUAGGGCCAAGAGGGCCUGAGGAGGUUGGUGACAAGGGCCUGUGUCCAGCACAGAGAGACCUUGUCCCCACCCCUCCUGGGCUGUCUAUUGGCACCAGGCUCUUCCUGAGGCCCCAUCUCCUCCCUCUCCUGUGUGACUCCUUUUCUCCUACUCAGGCCCAGGUCCCUCAAAGGCAGAGCCUGUGAUGUUUCCAUCAUGCAUCUCUUCUGUGCUCAACAAGGAUCACAUGCUCAAUAGAAACCUGUUUGAAAGACUGAGUAACCUGAGUCAGCAAACUUAUUUUUCUUUAAAGGAACAUAAAAACUGAAAAAUAGGAUUUCCAAAAAUUAUGUGGAUUUCCUGCACUCAGAACGGGAGUUCAAGUUUAAUUAGAAUGGAACUGAAAUAUGGCUGAAGUGGUACUCAGAGAUACGCCUUUUACAAAAUUCACUCUACCAGAUGUCACUGAUACUUUUGAAUUCUUUUUCAGAGGAGAGCUGCUUCCUGUUAGUGUCCAUUUGAAUACUGCUGUUUAAAAAAAGUCAGGGCUCACACCCAUUGGGAUUGCUACUAUCAAAACAACAAAAAACAACAAGUGUUGACGAGCAUUUGGAGAAAGGGAACCCUCGUGCACUGCUGGUCGGGGUGUAGAAUGAUGCAGCCACUGUAGAAAACAGUAAAAAAAUUAAACACAAGUACUUUAUGACCUAGUUCCACUUCUGGGUGAAUGCACAAAGGAAUUGAAAGCAGGGUCUGGAAGAGAUGUUGGUGCACCCAUGUUCACAGCAAUAUUAGUUACAGUCGCCAAAAGGUGGAAGCAAUGCAAGUCUCCAUGACAGAUGAGUGGAUAAGGAAAAUGUCCAACCAUACAAUAGUAAAUAUUACUCAACCUUUUAAAAGGAAAGACAUUGUAUCACAGCUACAACAUUGAUAAAUUCAGAGGACAUUAUACUCUGUGAAAUCAGCAGUCAAAAAAGGACAAAUACUAUUUUACUCCAGUAAGAUGAGGUUCCUAGAGUAGUCAGAAAUCAUAGGGACAUAAAGUAGAAUGGUAGUUACCAGGAUCUGGGAGAAGGGAACGGGGAAUUGUUUAAUGGGGAUGGUUUCAGUUUUACAAAGUGAAAAGGGUUCUCAAGAUGGAUGGUUGUGACGGGUCCACCGUAUGAAUACGCUUAAUACCACCAAACUGUACACUUAAAAAUGGUUACGAUGGCAAACACUGUGUAUAUUUUACCACAGUUUUUUUUUAAUUUUGGAAAAAAGUCAGGGCUGAAAACUGGCUUUGUGCUUUGAAAAAGGGCACCUCUUCAAGUAUAUUCUUAGUUUACUUAGUGAGAAAACCACAUUUUGCAAAUACUUCGAGGAUUUGCUGACAAGAUCACCAGCUGAUGCUUUUCCACAGGCUGGAGGCAUAGGGAAACCUAAGCUUGCUUGCUUGCUUAUUUAGUUAGCUAAUUUAUUUAUUUUGAGAGGAAUGAGAGAGAGAGAGAGAGAGAGAGAGAGAGAGAGAGAGAGAGGUGGGCAAGGGCAGCUUGGAGCCUGACUCAGGGCUCAAUCCCACAAACCAAGAUCAUGACCUGAGUUGAAAUCAAGAGUUGGACGCUCAACUAGCUGAGCCACCCAGGCGCCCCAACCUAAGCUUUUAAAGGCUUUUUAACUGAUUACUCCAGACCUACCAGAAUACUUAAAAUCAGUUGAUUAGGUGCUUUAAUCCCAUCUGCAAAAUCACUUCACAACAGCCUUUGGGUUAGUGUCUAAGUAUUAGGUAGGUGUGUGAGCUACAAAUGACCACCAUUUCCUUCCUCCUGCAUAGCCUGCCACUCAGGAAUUCAGCUGAAGGGGAAUUCUGGGGACAGUUUAGCCCGGUGACCUGACACACUAAAAGUCAUUUUAAACACUAGAGUAAUCCUGUUUGUAAAAACACAGGCACACAUAGGCUGAAUAUUUGAAAUGUAGAGAAAAAAGUCUGGAAUGAACUACCCAGACUUAACAGGUGUAUGUCUGGGGAGUAAGGUGGGAAUGUGGGACAAGGGAAGAGGGAAAUAUUUCCUAUUUUUGUAUUGAGAUUUCGUUAUUGUUUUACUGCAAAUAUGUAGUAUUUCUGUAACUUAACCAAAGUAAAGAAAGUGUUUUAUAAAAUCCUGGGGUGGACAAGGCCUUUCUAAUCAUAACAAGACAGUUUUGCCCGUAGGGAACAUGUCUUUUUCUUAUUAAAAACCUCAUAACUAAAAGCAAAUAAGGAACUGGGAAAAAAUAUUCAUAAUAUAUCACUUCCUCAAGUGUAUGAUGCAGUUUCUGUCCCAUCUCUUCCAUGCUCACCCACCACCAAAAGACCUGUGGUUUGUAUCACAGUUGAAGAAACAGGUAUUAAGGGAAAGGGAUUGGAGCUCAACACAGAGGCUUAAAAACCUAAUAAAAAUAGGUACAAGAGCUUACAGGGAACUUACUCACGAAAAGGCCAAGAAAUAUAAAUGAAAACAAGACUGGCAUUUUUCAUGAUUAAUCAAAUGGUUAAAAACAGUCCCUCCACAUCUGUAACCCCGAUGGGGAAAGUCCACCUCAGCCACAAGCAAAUGUGCACAGGUCUGCUACGGGGCCAACAAAUACAGUGAAGGUGUGAGGAAAGGACAGAUGUGUGACAGUAAGGAAGCUGCUACCUAAACCAGUCAGCAGGGACACGGUUCUAAGCAAAGUAAACCCCGAUUUGUAAAACAAAUACCAUACAUGUGCAUUAGAAAGAGUCAGGGGGUGGGGAGGCACCUGCGUGACUCACUUGGUUAAGCAUCCGACUUUGGUUCAGGUCAUAGUCUUGUGGGUUCGAGCCCCACGUCGGGGUUCUGUGCUGACAGCAAGAGCCUGCAGCCUGGGUUAGAUUCUGUGUCUCCCUGUGUCUCCCGACAAUAAAUAAACAUUUAAAAAAAAUUUUUUUUAAGAGGCUAAGGGGGUGCCUGGGUGGCUCAGUCAGUUAACUGUCCAACUCUUGAUCUCGGUUUUGGUCAUGUCUUGUGAUUCAUGAGAUCGAGCUCUGCUGAGAGCGCAGAAACUGCUUGGGAUUCUCUCUCUCCUCUCUCUGUGCCUCCCCAACUCAUGUUCUCUCUGUCUCAAAAUAAAUAAAUAAGCAUUAAAAUUUAAAAAAAGAGGCUAAGAAAACACACCAAACAUCGCUGUAGUGACCUCUGAAGAGUGAGACCAAAGGGCAGUUUUUUACAUUUCUAAGUUCUUGCAUUUCCCAAAUGUCCUAAAAUAAAUUUAUAUUUGGGGAAAAAUGAUUAAAAAAUACACAUUCACUGGUAGCUCUGCUUGGGGCUGGCGGCUUCCUUUCUGGCGUACCUUUUGUAAGAUGCUGUAGAAGCCCCUCCGUGUUCUCAGGGCUCCUGGGGCCGAGGGGGGGGGGGGUGGCUGAUGAAGAAGAAGGGUCACUAAGAGAUGGCCCCUCUCACCAGUGGCCACCCAGGGAAGCUUCUCCCCAGUGAAUACCUUCUGCUGACAGGCCUGCUGAGGGAUCACACUUAGCCUGGCUGGGGCUCCCAAGGCACUGCCUGGGAGCCUGCAGACCCCACUCCCGAGUCCUGCUUCAGCCACCACUACCCCUCCAGCUUUGCCGUGGCUUGUCAACAAACCCUGGGUCUACCUGAGAGUUCCCAACAUCUCCAUGGCAGGUGUUGUGUGGAUUCUAGUCCUCUGCCCCACUAGGUGGCUGGGUCCCCUGCCAACAGUCUGAUCUUGGUCAAUUCUAGUAACAAAUGAACAUCCAAAAAAAAAAAAAAAAGCCAACAGAUUCCGCUCCCCUCCCCCCAUCACAAGUCAAUAUUUGGAAAACCGAGGAGUGGAAAGAGAAAACGAAACCCACCCCCAACCCCCACUUGUGUUGGAGCCCGCGUGUGCCUCCAGGCGCAGACUUGGACGGUUUAGAAAUGCCGCCCUCCCGCGGGCAUCUGGGCUCAGCAGUUGUGGGGGGACCCGCUCCGGCUCAGCCUUCCUCACUGCCCUUCCCUCGGGCUGCUCGACCACAGCCCUGGCCCUGACCCUUCUCACAGCCAAGCGGGGAGGACCGACAGCCUUCUGCCUUGGGGCCCCCUCCUGGAUGAGUUCUCCGCCUUUCAUCAACUCAACGGGGAGCCCAGUGGGGCACCCGUCUGUCCUCCCCACCCUCCCGGGAACACGCGGGCCCGUGGACUUUCUGGUGUUGGAUGAGGGCUGACGGCCGGCCGCAGGCCCCGCCACAGGCCCGGCACCGGUAGGGCCUCUCGGCACUGUGGAGCCGGUAGUGCUCAUUCAGCGUGUAGCUCCUGCGGAAAGCCUUGCCACACUCCGUGCAGGCAAAGGGCUUCUGCUUGGUGUGGGUCUUCUGGUGCAGAGUGAGGUUGGACUUCCGGCUGAAGGCUUUGCCGCAUUCCCUGCACUCGAAUGGCUUCUCGCCCGUGUGCAGCCUCUGGUGCAGGAGGAGCAAGGAGUUGUGUUUGAAGGGCUUCUGGCACACGGGGCACUCGAACGGCCUGGCGCCCGAGGCGGUCUUCCGUGCGGCGCCGGGCUGGGGGUCCUGGCGGCCGCCGUCUUCUCGGGGGCCGUCCCCGGCGUGCAGCCGGUGGUGUUUGAGGAGCGACGACCCGCGGAUGAAGCGCUGCCCGCACUGCAGGCACGUGUACGGCCGCUCCCCGCUGUGGAUGCGGCCGUGCUCGUUGAGGGUGAACCUGCGGCAGAAGGCCUUCCCGCACUCGCCGCACUCGUACGGCUUUUCUCCCGUGUGGAACUUCUGGUGCUGCCGGAGCCGGGAGCUGCGGCCAAAGGCCUUCCCGCACUCGCCGCACUCGUAGGGCUUCUCCCGCGUGUGGACCCUGUGGUGUGCGGUCAGCUGAGUGCUCUGCCGGAAGGCCUUCCCGCACUCGCUGCACUGGUAGGGCUUCUCCUCAGUGUGGAUGAGCUGGUGUCUCAGGAGGAUGGAGCUCUGCUUGAAGGCCUUGCCACACUCGGUGCACUGGUAGGGCUUGGCCCCCGUGUGGAUGACCUGGUGCCUGAGCAGCAGCGAGUUGUACUUGAAUGCCUUGCCGCAAGCACACCUGUACACUCUGUCCCCAGCAGCCUCUGCAGGGCCCAAGCCUGGCUGUUUUGCCUCCAGGGUCCCCAGGGACGUGCUAAGUUCCCCACCAAGGCCGCCUGCCUGGGGGUCGAGUUGUCCUUUAUCUGACCCAUCUUUAGGACGGCCAUUCCUCUCCUCAGGGAGGCGCCCCCAAACUGUGCCCAACAGUCCUAACUGCUUAGAGGACACUCUCCCCGGAGAAGACUCCUUGACCCCGGCCUCCAUCCUAGAAUCUGGAAGAAUGAACAGAAAAUGGAAAGGUGACCUCGCCUCUACGUUCACCAAAGGAACUCUGAUUUGAAGACAGAAUCCUCAUGUCAAAGUGGUAGAGAGGUUUGGAAACUUCUUGCAAGAAAGAAACUGUAAAAUCAGGGUUUGUAUAAGAGGAUCCAAAGGAAGGUUCAUUAAGGGCUUAAGCACUGUGGGAGGUUAGCUCAAGAGGGGAACUCAUGACCAGAGAGGGGCAUCAGGAGGACAGGGGAGGGCACAGCUUGGCCCAAAGUACUGGGGCAGAGGUUGGGGGGUAGGGAGCAGGCCUGAUGCAGGAGUGGGACCUGCAGGGUGUGGGGUACUGCUAUCCUUUGCUCACCUCUUCCUCCCAGCACUCACUCACAGGUCAUCCACUCAGUAGACAGGUCAGAGUCCUGCCCAUACAGGCCCCAUGGACUGCAGGCCACCUUUCCUCCCUUUCUGCAGCCUCUGCAGUCCCAAACUCAGGCCUUGGCAUGUGAGCCACGGGGAGCUGGAAGGAUCAAAGCAGCUCAAGGGUCUUCCCUGCUGGGUCUUCCUCACACACCCACUGCCCCCACAGAUCUGGCCCGACACCUCGGGGCACCAGGAAGGAUGUUCAUGCACUUGGGUUUCUUGUACAAGUUAGCCCUGGGUGACCUUGGAUGACAAGCAAGGUGUUUAGUAAGAAAUUUGGCCAUGCUGUGAGGAACUAAACGUACAGCCUUCCAAGCACCAGGGGGCUACAAGGAGCUGUGUGAAGGCCAGGCCGUGCUGUGCCUUGCACUUACCUGGGCACAGGUUGGCCACAGUCCCUUGCUCCUCAGCCACCUGCAGAAUCAAAGCCCCUGGCUCCUCCCCUUGUUCCAAGAGGGAGAUCAGCGCUGGUUUGGCAACGAGAAAGCCUACAUGCAGGGAGGAGAGCAGCACGUGUCAGGGAGCAGGAGGAAGGGUGUCUGGCUGCCUGGCUGGAGGCCUCAGAGGACACACACUUGGGGUGGGUUGGAACACCUACUUUCCCAGGAGCAGGGCAACUGGGUGGCCAUGGAGAGAUGAGGGGGAACCCCUCCAACUUCCCCUCUGAACAUGUUAGGCUUUGAAUUUGGAAAGGAACCAACUCCCCCAGGAGGCCGGUGGAAGAAGCAGGGUUGUGUCUGAGCCCAGCCCCAGGAUGGAAGGGGAAGCCUCACCCAGUGAGGCCACGUGCCCGUAGUUCUCCAGCAUCACGUCCCUGUACAGUGCCCGCUGGUCGGGGGCCAGGCAACUCCACUCUAUUCUCGUGAAGUACACAGCCACGUCCUCAAACACAACGGCCUCCUGCAACCACAAACUCUGCUGUCUGGGGUUAUCUGGGCAGGAGAUGCGGAGACCAUGUCAGGGAUACUUAGGUUGCCUGUUCAGCUCUGGGAAGUCAAGGCUUCUGUAUGGUCACUGCUGCAUUCCUAAGGCCUGGCAUGGGGGGGAGGGGGUACACCUCAACACUCUCCAAGGAAAAGUGGAACAGCCCUAUUGCCAAAGCCACGGGAGAAGUGAGGGUCUCAACCCUGGCCUGGGUAGGGGCACCCUCGAGAUGCUGGUGGCUGAGCCUCCACACUGGUGGGGAGAGUUCCUGUCCUGUUCUCUGGUUCUCUGCUCUUAGUGGAGAAGCCAAGGGCUGUGUGCACCAAGAAGGUCUGACCAUUCACACCAGAUGGAGGCAGGUGCUGGGGAGGGACAGGGCCCCUGACCUUGCUUGCUGACCCUUGAAGCUCAGGGGCUUCAGGAGACUGUGGGCAGCCUACUUCUGCCCAAAGCCUCAGGAAGGAGUUGACAGAGCCAUUGUGAGUCUUCGAAGGGAGGAGGCUGACCCUUGGCUUACAGAAUCCAUCCCUGUGACCCACCUGCAGGAGUGGGAGCUACAUGGGUGGGCCUGGGGCCCCCUGGGAAGGUCCUCAGGGCUGAAAAGCUGAGGAUGGGGAUGAAGGCAGCCUAAAGGCUCAGAGGGGACACUCACCUGGAGUCUGGGCGUCGCAAGUGGCACCGCCAUUCCAAGGUCCCCUUCAGGGGAAAGGCAGGCGCUGGGGACGGUGAGUGUUGAGUAGGAAGAGCCCAGGCCUAAGGCCCAUCCACCCCUGUCCCUGUCUCCCAGAAGGACCACCCAGAUACAGAAGAGACAGGAAAGCGUGAGACAUGAGGCAAGCACAUCCCGGUCACCCCAGACGACCCCUCACAUCCCAAGAAGCCACAACCUGAGACCUGCUCACCCACAAGCCUCCACCUCUCACUCCUGGUUUUCCCAGGGAUGUCUUCUGGGACCAUCCUACUUCAAAUGAUAUUCCCGGGUGUCUGGAUAGCUCACUCAGCAGAAAUCCUGCGGUUAUGAUGCUACGAGGUAACAUCUGGAAGGAAGGCCCUUUUAACAUGUGAGAGUAUAACAGGCUACAGAGGAUGAUCUGAGAGGCUUGGUGAGUCAUCUGUGCCCAGACAGCACAAACGGCAA